AUGGCAGAAUGCUUCAAUAAGGUGCUCAAGGGUGUACGUGCAUUACCUGUGACGGCAAUAGUUCAAUACACAUUUGACAAGAUGAAUGGAUACUUUUUGAAGUAUUCAAUGGAGACGGAUAAGCAGAUUGCUGGUGAGAACAAGGAUAAGCACAAGUACUAUUUCCCACCAAAGGUUGAAGAAUGGUUGGACUUUCAAUCACGAAAGGCAGACUCCCAAGAAGCUGUACUAUAUGACGACGACAAGUGGAAGUAUGAGGUGAAAGAGCCUGGAGGAACCACAAAUGAUGGCCACCAACACGGAGGCCGCGCUUUCAAGGUCUCCCUAACACGGUGUGAUUGCAGCUGCAUGAGGCCAUCGUUGCUUCAUCUCCCAUGCUCGCACUUGUUAAAUGCAGCCCGUGUUAGGAAUGUGGACGUCAAUCACCCUCUUACCGUGAGGGAGUCCGAGUUCUCAAUCAUGACGGUAAAGAAUACAUGGGCUCCCCGGUUUCAGCCAUACUUGGACCAAUCACAAUGGCCGGAGUAUCAUGGAGUUCAACUAUGGCCGGACCCG
rnacentral:rRNA from 1 species